rnacentral:rRNA from 1 species
CCUACGGGAGACAGCAGUGGGGGAUAUUGCACAAUGGGGGAAACCCUGAUGCAGCGACGCCGCGUGGGUGAAGAAGCGCCUCGGCGCGUAAAGCCCUGUCAGCAGGGAAGAAAAUGACGGUACCUGAAGAAGAAGCCCCGGCUAACUACGUGCCAGCAGCCGCGGUAAUACGUAGGGGGCAAGCGUUAUCCGGAUUUACUGGGUGUAAAGGGGGCGCAGACGGCGAUGCAAGCCAGGAGUGAAAGCCCGGGGCCCAACCCCGGGACUGCUCUUGGAACUGGGUGGCUAGAGUGCAGGAGGGGCAGGCGGAAUUCCUGGUGUAGCGGUGAAAUGCGUAGAUAUCAGGAGGAACACCGGUGGCGAAGGCGGCCUGCUGGACUGCAACUGACGUUGAGGCCCGAAAGCGUGGGGAGCAAACAGGAUUAGAUACCCCAGUAGUC